AUUCAAUUGCAAAAAUUUAUCAAAGAUUAUGGCUGAUGAAGAACAAAUGACACAAACGGCCCAAAUUAUACCUCUUAGCCAAACUGAUGAGGAUGGGGUUUGUAUUAUGUUUGAAAAUGGAAGUAAGUGAAAGUGAAGAUAAGGAAAUUAUUGUUUCUGGUGAAGAAUUUCCAGAAAGUCAGAUUCAAGAUUCCGAAUUAGAGUUUUUCGACAAUGAAUACGACUAUAACUACGAGGUCCCUCUCCAACACUACACGCACUAGAGUUCACAAAUUUUUUUCUCUAUAUAUAUAUAUAUAUAUAAUGCAAGUUCAGUUUUAGAAUUAGGACUAAAAAAGGGUAUUUUACCUUUGAUCAUUGUUGAAGCUCGUAACCAUCUCAUCUAAAAAUUUAACGGUUAAAGAAAUUAUACUUUUAGUUACUUAAUUAUGUCGUCAAUACGCUCUAUACGUGCAAGCUUGAUGCUUUUUAGCCAAGCACAAGUAGAAAUCCUACUUAAUAAUAGGUGGCAUAAGACUCGAAUUCAGGACCUCUAACUGCUCUGAUAUCAUGUUGAAAUGUGUGACCAUCCCAUCUAAAAGUUUAAGCAGUUAGAAUUAAAAACUACACUUUUAGUUACUUAAUUAUAUAUAUAUCAACAAUCGGGCAUAUGUAAUGUAACUUCAUUUGCACAUAGGUUAAACUAUCUAGAUCUUAAAUGCUUACCAUGUUGUAAAUGAGGAGCCCUCAUUUCUUAACGUUAUUAGGCUAAGUGUCAUUUUUUACACAUA